rnacentral:rRNA from 1 species
CCUACGGGGGACAGCAGUGAGGAAUAUUGGUCAAUGGUCGUGAGACUGAACCAGCCAAGCCGCGUGAGGGAUGAAGGUACAGAGUAUCGUAAACCUCUUUUGUCAGGGAACAAAGGCGGGGACGUGUCCCCGGAUGAGUGUACCUGAAGAAAAAGCAUCGGCUAACUCCGUGCCAGCAGCCGCGGUAAUACGGAGGAUGCGAGCGUUAUCCGGAUUUAUGGGGUUAAAAGGGUGCGCAGGCGGUCUGUUAAGUCAGCGGUCAAAGCCCGGGGCUCAACCCCGGCCCGCCGUUGAAACUGGCAGUCUCGAGUUGGAGAGAAGUAUGCGGAAUGCGCGGUGUAGCGGUGAAAUGCAUAGAUAUCGCGCAGAACUCCGAUUGCGAAGGCAGGAUGCCGGCUCCACACUGACGCUGAGGCACGAAAGCGUGGGUAUCGAACAGGAUUAGAUACCCUUGUAGUC